AACCACGAUGACGAGUUAAGAUGCUUUCUUCUGAGCGUGAAUCGGGUGGUGAGCGACGAGCGAGAUUGUCUGCUCUCUGUCGUUGAUGAACGUUCCUGCUGUGCUUUGCAGUCUGGAAGAAGAAAGUAUGUUCAGAGUGGU
rnacentral:snoRNA from 1 species